rnacentral:rRNA from 1 species
UACGUAGGGCGCGAGCGUUGUCCGGAAUUAUUGGGCGUAAAGAGCUCGUAGGCGGCCGGUUUGCGUCUGCUGUGAAAUCCCGGGGCUUAACCCCGGGCGUGCAGUGGAUACGGGCCGGCUGGAGGCAGGCAGGGGAGAAUGGAAUUCCCGGUGUAGCGGUGAAAUGCGCAGAUAUCGGGAGGAACACCGGUGGCGAAGGCGGUUCUCUGGGCCUGUACUGACGCUGAGGAGCGAAAGCGUGGGGAGCGAACAGG